rnacentral:rRNA from 1 species
AGAGUUUGAUCAUGGCUCAGAUUGAACGCUGGCGGCAUGCCUUACACAUGCAAGUCGAGCGGCAGCGCGGGGGCAACCCUGGCGGCGAGCGGCGCACGGGUGAGUAAUGCAUCGGAACGUGUCCUCUUGUGGGGGAUAACCAGUCGAAAGACUGGCUAAUACCGCAUGAGCACGAAAGUGGAAAGCGGGGGACCGCAAGGCCUCGCGCGAGAGGAGCGGCCGAUGUCGGAUUAGCCUAGUUGGUGAGGUAAUGGCCCACCAAGGCGACGAUCCGUAGCUGGUUUGAGAGAACGACCAGCCACACUGGGACUGAGACACGGCCCAGACUCCUACGGGAGGCAGCAGUGGGGAAUUUUGGACAAUGGGGGCAACCCUGAUCCAGCCAUGCCGCGUGUGUGAAGAAGGCCUUCGGGUUGUGAAGCACUUUCGGCCGGAACGAAAUCGCGCGAUCUAACAAGUCGCGUGGAUGACGGUACCGGAAGAAGAAGCACCGGCUAACUACGUGCCAGCAGCCGCGGUAAUACGUAGGGUGCGAGCGUUAAUCGGAAUUACUGGGCGUAAAGUGUGCGCAGGCGGCUGAGCAAGUCGAGUGUGAAAGCCCCGAGCUUAACUUGGAAAUUGCGCUCGAAACUACUUGGCUGGAGUGUGGCAGAGGAAGGUGGAAUUCCACGUGUAGCGGUGAAAUGCGUAGAGAUGUGGAGGAACACCAAUGGCGAAGGCAGCCUUCUGGGCCAACACUGACGCUCAUGCACGAAAGCGUGGGGAGCAAACAGGAUUAGAUACCCCCGUAGUCC